rnacentral:rRNA from 1 species
ACGCGAAGAACCUUACCAGGGCUUGACAUGCUGGUGGUACGGAUCCGAAAGGUGAAGGACCCUUCGGGGAGCCAGCACAGGUGCUGCAUGGCUGUCGUCAGCUCGUGCCGUGAGGUGUUGGGUUAAGUCCCGCAACGAGCGCAACCCUCGCCGUCAGUUAUAUUUUUCUGACGGGACCGCUGGGAUAAACCCAGAGGAAGGUGGGGAUGACGUCAAGUCAGCAUGGCCCUUACGUCCUGGGCUACACACACGCUACAAUGGCCGGUACAAUGGGCUGCCAAGGCGCGAGCCGGAGCUAAUCCCUCAAAGCCGGCCCCAGUUCAGAUUGCAGGCUGCAACUCGCCUGCAUGAAGGCGGAGUCGCUAGUAACCGCAGGUCAGCACACUGCGGUGAAUACGUUCCCGGGCCUUGUACACACCGCCCGUCACGUCAUGGAAGCCGGCAGCACCUGAAGCCGUUGAGCCAACGCGUA